CUGUGUAUUAUUAAGCCACAUAGGCAAAAAUUUCUAAAACACAAGAUCAUACCAACAGGUAUGUCAUAAGAGAGGAUAAAUAAAAAAUAUCAGAGGUUAUCCUACUCAAAAGAACACAAAGGCAAUACACGAAGACAAAUACUCUUCUGAUGGCGUGCACUCGGAGAUGAGGUUGGAAGAGAGGCUAGUGUUUCCUCAUACAUCAAUGAUUGUAAUUUACACCAUCUGCGAUGGAAACUCGCCAUAUGAAAUCAAGGUUCUGGAAGGAUGAAAUGCUAAAACCAUGAGCUCAAACCCUCCAAACAUUUGGGCUCUUCUUUUAUCCACAUUAGUGGCUUGAAAAGAACUCAGUUUUUUGGAAGUCUGGCUCCAUGAAAUCAAUCCCACCAGUUCUGACAGUCGCAACAAAUUUCAGUAAAGCAAGACCACUGAAACGCCUAAGAGUGAGAGGCGAGACAUAGUAAAGAACACUCGAUAGAUCACUAGAUAACUGAACACCCUACCAAAGAUGCAUGACCGUCUCAAAUUGAGACGAUUCUUUGAUAGCCCGAGGCCAUUGCAGACCUCCAUCAACAACAAACGAUUGAAACCCUUUUCACUUCAAGACCACCUCAAAUAGAAACAGAACCAUUUGCACGACUAAAGAUAACAAACAGAGAAACUGAAGAAGAGAACAAUCCAUAAACUCCAAAAGCAUAUGCCGUCAAAUACGGCAAGACACAACCAAAACCCAUAGAAACGUGAGACAAGGUGAAGCUCCGAUGUGAUACGACAAACCGAACACCGCCAAGAAACUAAGAGAUCAAAUCUGGAUAUAUGAUAUCAAGAGUACAAGCGGGAUACCCACACCGUUGAUCGAACAAAUCCGGAGCCUCCAUCGUCAUAGCAGAGAAGAUCAUGGCCAAGGCAAGAAUAUUCAGCAUCAAACGCUCCAACUCCAGAACAGUCUUUUGAGUAGCUAUAGAACAUAAGAUUCUCCAGCGACCUCCGUUAGAGAGAUAGAAAAAUAACACAUAACCUUGCUGUUGAAAAAUACCACCCCUAACACCAGAGAACGCUAAGACACUACAAUAUCACCAGAAAAGCGUGAAAGAUGUCAAACAAAGGUAAAUGAUAGCGAAGGGAGCCUCUCCUGGCGAUGGCGAGGAGCGCCGAACGCCGGAGAAGCGAUGUUGGGCCGGUAAGAUCUUUGUCUAAACGAACUUAACAUUGAAGAAAGAAUUAAUAACUGAAAUAGUAAUCAAGCUGAUGAACACACAACAGUGACUACGAAUCUAAAACCUAAGUACCCAAGUUGAGCAAAGACAAAUAAGUGGUCGGAAAAAAAAAUGUAGAUCUUACUUAAUCUCACCUACCAGGAUCGUAAAUGUCUGGUCAGGAAGAUCUUUGUCUACACGGAAAGUACAUAAUUCAAUUUCGAAGGAAAAUAACCAUUAAAUCACAAAAACUGGAGCACGGAAGAAAAAAAAUCGAAGUUUAAGAACUAACCUCUGAAAUAGUACUGGGAAUCGAAGCAGAGGGAAAGGCUCAAACGAUCGUCGGAGUUUAAAGUCAAACAAACAAAAAGAAUGGUGCCUAUGUGAAGCUAGUAAACAACGAAAUGGAUAUUCGACUAUUUUAUAAAUAAAAUCAUAUAAAAGUUAGGGAUAUGUAAUAACACGUGACCGAUUAUAGAAGAACAGUACUUGGGUUCAUGUGAAAUGUUAAAAGUUAAAAGUUAAAAUAUAAGAGCUAUAGAAUACUCUACUACUGGAUGAUACGCUGGAUGGAUUUUUUAUACAAAUUUUUGUUCAAUAAAUAGUUUAACAUUUUGUAACACUAUAAUUUUUAUCGAUUGUAAAAUAAUAAAUAUAAUUCUUGAUCUCUUAGAUAUAUAAUUGUUGUUGAAGAGUUAACAUAUAACAACUCAUUUUAAUUACUUUUAAGAUUUUAUAUGCAUAAAAGAAAUUAAGUUUUGCGGCCGAUAUAAAUCACAAAAACCAGAUAUGCAACAUCGAUUGUAAAAUGACUAAAAUUGAUUAGGUUUUCUGCUUUUGAUUUGUUUACUAUUGUAUCUCCAUAGAUGAUUUCAUUUUCUACUUCUAUAAAUUGUGUUUUUUUUUUCUAGUUUCUGUUUCACUAAUAUGAUUUUUUAAAACUUCUUCUGUGAAUUUGGUGAAUUACAUAAGUGUCAAUUAAAAAAGAUGGACAUCUGUAAAAAUUUGUUUCACUCCAAAUACAUAUAUAAAAAUUAAAAUUUUGAAGAAAAGCACCGACAAACUCUAUUCACAAGUUAGUGUUCAAAUCUAAUAUAUCAAGCUGUUAUAAAAUAUAAGUGCAGAUUUGAAAUAUAAAUUUAUGUCUAGUAUAUAUUUACCAGUUCGGUAUAAAAAUUAUCUAAUUCUAAAACAAUGAAACAAAUUAUUUAUUUACAUGAUCAAUGCUUUUAAGGUUUUUUUUUUUUUUUAACGCUGUGUAUUAUUAAGCCACAUAGGCAAAAAUUUCUAAAACACAAGAUCAUACCAACAGGUAUGUCAUAAGAGAGGAUAAAUAAAAAAUAUCAGAGGUUAUCCUACUCAAAAGAACACAAAGGCAAUACACGAAGACAAAUACUCUUCUGAUGGCGUGCACUCGGAGAUGAGGUUGGAAGAGAGGCUAGUGUUUCCUCAUACAUCAAUGAUUGUAAUUUACACCAUCUGCGAUGGAAACUCGCCAUAUGAAAUCAAGGUUCUGGAAGGAUGAAAUGCUAAAACCAUGAGCUCAAACCCUCCAAACAUUUGGGCUCUUCUUUUAUCCACAUUAGUGGUUUGAAAAGAACUCAGUUUUUUGGAAGUCUGGCUCCGUGAAAUCAAUCCCACCAGUUCUGACAGUCGCAACAAAUUUCAGUAAAGCAAGACCACUGAAACGCCUAAGAGUGAGAGGCGAGACAUAGUAGAGAACACUCGAUAGAUCACUAGAUAACUGAACACCCUACCAAAGAUGCAUGACCGUCUCAAAUUGAGACGAUUCUUUGAUAGCCCGAGGCCAUUGCAGACCUCCAUCAACAACAAACGAUUGAAACCAUUUUCACUUCAAGACCACCUCAAAUAGAAACAGAACCAUUUGCACGACUAAAGAUAACAAACAGAGAAACUGAAGAAGAGAACAAUCCUUAAACUCUAAAAGCAUAUGCCGCUCCAUGCCGUCAAAUACGGCAAGACACAACCAAAACCCAUAGAAACGUGACACAAGGUGAAGCUCCGAUGUGAUACGACAAACCGAACACCGCCAAGAAACUAAGAGAUCAAAUCUGGAUAUAUGAUAUCAAGAGUACAAGCGGGAUACCCACACCGUUGAUCGAACAAAUCCGGCGCCUCCAUCGUCAUAGCAGAGAAGAUCAUGGCCAGGGCAAGAAUAUUCAGCAUCAAACGCUCCAACUCCACAACAGCCUUUUGAGUAGCUAUAGAACAUAAGAUUCUCCAGAGACCUCCGUUAGAGAGAUAGAAAAAUAACACAUAACCUUGCUGUUGAAAAACACCACCCCUAACACCAGAGAACGCUAAGACACUACAAUAUCACUAGAUCCAUAUAUGUUGAUUGAAAAGCGUGAAAGAUGUCAAACAAAGGUAAAUGAUAGCAAAGGGAGCCUCUCCUGGCGAUGGCGAAGAGCGCCGAACGCCGGAGAAGCGAGGAUCUGGCCAAGGAAGACGACGGCGGCUGAUAGGUCUGGGAGAGAUUUUGGCUGGAUGCUUUUAAG
rnacentral:lncRNA from 1 species